rnacentral:rRNA from 1 species
AGAGUUUGAUCCUGGCUCAGGACGAACGCUGGCGGCGUGCUUAACACAUGCAAGUCGAACGGAUCAUCAGGAUUUCGGUUUUGGUGGUGAGUGGCGAACGGGUGAGUAACACGUGAGUAACCUGCCCCGGACUCUGGGAUAACGACUCGAAAGGGUUGCUAAUACCGGAUAUUGAAUCUCUGUCGUGUGGUGGGGGUUUGAAAGUUUUUUCGGUUCGGGAUGGGCUCGCGGCCUAUCAGCUUGAUGGUGGGGUGAUGGCCUACCAUGGCUUCGACGGGUAGCCGGCCUGAGAGGGCGACCGGCCACACUGGGACUGAGAUACGGCCCAGACUCCUACGGGAGGCAGCAGUGGGGAAUAUUGCACAAUGGGCGAAAGCCUGAUGCAGCAACGCCGCGUGCGGGAUGAAGGCCUUCGGGUUGUAAACCGCUUUCACCAGGGACGAAGUUGACGGUACCUGGAGAAGAAGCACCGGCUAACUACGUGCCAGCAGCCGCGGUGAUACGUAGGGUGCGAGCGUUGUCCGGAUUUAUUGGGCGUAAAGAGCUCGUAGGCGGUUUGUUGCGUCGGAAGUGAAAACCCAGGGCUUAACUUUGGGCUUGCUUUCGAUACGGGCAGACUUGAGGAAGGUAGGGGAGAACGGAAUUCCUGGUGGAGCGGUGGAAUGCGCAGAUAUCAGGAGGAACACCGGUGGCGAAGGCGGUUCUCUGGACCUUUCCUGACGCUGAGGAGCGAAAGCGUGGGGAGCAAACAGGCUUAGAUACCCUGGUAGUCCACGCCGUAAACGGUGGGCACUAGGUGUGGGAUCCAUUCCACGGGUUCCGUGCCGUAGCUAACGCAUUAAGUGCCCCGCCUGGGGAGUACGGCCGCAAGGCUA